rnacentral:rRNA from 1 species
CGUACGCUGGCGGCACGCCUAACACAUGCAAGUCGAACGCAGUAGCAAUACUGAGUGGCAGACGGGUGAGUAACAUGUGGGAAUCUGCCUUGUGGUUCAGGACAACAUUGGGAAACCGAUGCUAAUACUGGGUAAGCCCUUACGGGGAAAGUUUUAAUGCCAUAAGAUGAGCCCGCAUUUGAUUAGUUAGUUGGUGAGGUAAUGGCUCACCAAGACAAUGAUCAAUAGCUGACCUGAGAGGAUGAUCAGCCACACUGGGACUGAGACACGGCCCAGACUCCUACGGGAGGCAGCAGUGGGGAAUCUUGCACAAUGGAGGAAACUCUGAUGCAGCGAUGCCGCGUGAGUGAAGAAGGCCUUUGGGUUGUAAAGCUCUUUUGUAGGGGAAGAUAAUGACUGUACCCUAAGAAUAAGGUCCGGCUAACUUCGUGCCGGCAG